rnacentral:rRNA from 1 species
UACCGUGAAAAAAUUAGAGUGUUCAAAGCAGGCAGAUCCAAUUCUCUGCCACCGAAUACAUUAGCAUGGGAUAAUGGAAUAGGACCCUGUCCUCCUAUUUUCAGUUGGUUUUGGCAGCGCGAGGACUAGGGUAAUGAUUAAUAGGGAUAGUUGGGGGCAUUAAUAUUUAAUUGUCAGAGGUGAAAUUCUUGGAUUUAUGAAAGAUUAACUUCUGCGAAAGCAUCUGCCAAGGAUGUUUUCAUUAAUCAAGAACGAAAGUUAGGGGAUCGAAGACGAUCAGAUACCGUCGUAGUCUUAUCCAUAAACGAUGCCGACCAGCGAUUAGGAGACGUUGAAUACAAAACACCACCAUCGGUGCGGUCGUUCUUGGCGUCGGUUUCGGCCGGCGCGGGAGCGGCUUAGCCCGGUGGCACCGGUGAAUGACUGAUACCAACUUUGGUGAG